rnacentral:lncRNA from 10 species
CUUAAAUAAAUGUAAAAUGAAAACUUUAAAAGUGUUGUAAGAAAAUAAUUUGAAUCUUAUGAGAGAUUAUAAGGGAAACUGAUCUAUCUAGAUGUCAAGGAAGGCUUCCAGUAAGAGGAUCUUUGAUAUACUAUCUGGAGGAUAAGUAGGAGUCCAGAGGUGAAGAAGUGGAUGUAUGAGAAACUGUACAUGUAAAGGCCCUUUGGCAGAAGGACAAGAACUGAGACCAGGCCAGUGUGACUGAAGAGCAGAGCAGACAGGGAAGAAGGCCAGGUGAAAAUGGGGGAGGGACUGAAUCAUGCCAGACAUUGCAGGCCAUGUGAAGGACUUUGGUCUUUCUCUGAAGAGUGAUGAGAACCCAUUCAAAUGGUUUAUUCAGAUCUGGUGGGUUUUGAUUAGAGGUGGAGACAUAAUCAGAUUUGUAUUUUGAGAAGAUCCUUUUGCCUUCUACGUGGAGAACCAAUAGGAGGAGGCUGGAGCAGAUAGGAGCUGCCUGAUGCUGCUGCAGCAGUCUAGGGUACCAACAUGAUGCCAUUGAACAUGGGACGUGAUGUGCAUAAUCAGCUCUUGGGAACCUUCAGGUGUGGGCUACAGCACCUCACUGGACCGCUGGGUUCCUAGUAGAGUGGAGGAAGUGUUCACUUAGCCACAACUUUGCUUCACCCUGGAGGCCAACUGAGGCAUGUUAGUAUACCCUCUCCCUGUAGUUCUGGAGUGAGGACAUUGGAAAGCUAAACAGUGGUGCUUGAUUCAAGGUGCUUGAUCUAAUUUCUGUGGCCUUUGUCUGAAGAGGGAGGAAUAAGAACGUGUCAACCUGGAAUUCCCAGACUGGCUGAUUGGGUCACAUUUGGAAAGCUGCUGUGUGCACAUCUGAUUAUCCUGCACCUAGGACUAUGAUUCAUUUCUUCUUUCUCAGAACGUGUAUCAGUUUGUUAUAUUGAUUAGCCUGAUUGUCUGAAUAGUGUCUUUCUGUGUCAAAUCUAUGAAAGUUUGAACCCUAUAUGCUUUUGCUGAAUACUGUAUUUCCAAUACCUAGUAAUUAUACCUAGACUGACACAUAGUGGGAAUUUUUUUCUUCAAGUUUAAGUGAAAAUUUAUUUAUUUUUUUAAAUCUCCA